GACGAACGCUGGCGGCGUGCUUAACACAUGCAAGUCGAACGGAAAGGCCUUUUCGGAGGUACUCGAGUGGCGAACGGGUGAGUAACACGUGGGUGAUCUGCCCUGCACUCUGGGAUAAGCCUGGGAAACUGGGUCUAAUACCGGAUAGGACCGCACCUUAGUGUGUGUGGUGGAAAGUUUUUUCGGUGUAGGAUGAGCCCGCGGCCUAUCAGCUUGUUGGUGGGGUAAUGGCCUACCAAGGCGGCGACGGGUAGCCGGACUGAGAGGUUGGUCGGCCACAUUGGGACUGAGAUACGGCCCAGACUCCUACGGGAGGCAGCAGGGGGGAAUAUUGCACAAUGGGCGCAAGCCUGAUGCAGCGACGCCGCGGGGGGGAGGACGGCCUUCGGGUUGUAAACGCCUUUCGCCAGGGACGAAGCGUUUUGUGACGGUACCUGGAGAAGAAGCACCGGCUAACUACGUG
rnacentral:rRNA from 1 species